rnacentral:lncRNA from 1 species
AUAGUUAAAGUUUCAAUGUUUAUAUGUGUAUGUUUAAUGUCUGUAUUAUUGGUUCACAGCCGGCAAGUCCAGUAAAGAAAGAGAGGCACCAUAGAAACGAAACUGACUUGGACAAGUAUUUCAGAACACUUCCUAUCAUGCUGAUGGAUGGAAGCUGUCACAGCAGCUAUGACACCUUGGGAAAACCUACAUGGCACAUGUAAUUAAAUCUGACUCAGAUAUAAGAUGAGAAAGCAUUAUGGUGACACAAAAUGUUACCUUCCUAGAAAAUCUUUCCUUUAAUGAUGCAUUUGGAAGGACCAAGUUUCAUGUUUCAGCUCAUAAAUAGAUCUCUGUGGCCUUUAAAAAUUUUAAGGUCCACUGCUUUGUGAGCAACUCUGAUUUUGUUCAAGUCUUAAGUCAGGCAGAUUCCUGUAUCAUACACAAGAAUUGAGAAGAUGAAAAUAAAAUGCUUCAAGAAAUUUUCCA